AUUUGUAGCGCAAUGGAUAGCGCGUUGGAAUUCUGGUCCAAUGGGCGUGGGUUCGAAUUCCACCUGGGAUG